rnacentral:rRNA from 1 species
AUGCAGCAGCCGCUGCUGUACACAUUCGAGGAGGCGUUCGAGCUGUUCUGCAACGGAUUAUGCGGGAGCGGCCCACAGUGGCGCCACGUGGUGGGUUACAGGGGCAUGAGCAGGAAGCGGUCAGAGAAGGUGCUCUUCCUCCUGUAUGAGCAGAUGCUCUGGGACCCGUGA